rnacentral:misc_RNA from 1 species
CAGUUGGUUAGAGCGCGCGCUUGAUAAGCGUGAGGUCGGAAGUUCAAGUCUUCCCAGGCCCACCAUUUUGAUCGAGUGCGGAGCAUUCGUCUUCUGGUACGGGGCCAUAGCUCAGCUGGGAGAGCGCGUGCUUUGCAAGCAUGAGGUCGUCGGUUCGAUCCCGUCUGGCUCCACCAGAUGGAAUUGAAGCUCGAGAAUGCCUCGUCAAAUUCGUCCGCGAAACAUCACUUCGCACUCAUUGGUCCGGAUGGACGGUGACGUGCGUGUUUUCUGACAUCGUAAAGAGGAGAUCGAUCCGAGUUUGGAUCUGCGAAGCAAUUCGCGGGUACCAUUCCUAAUCUCCAGAUCGUUUUCGGCGCUCGUUCAUCGCUACUCAUCGCAAGAUGAGUGAGAUGAGUGAGUUGUAAAACGAUCUUUGUAGCGAAGCUUGACCGCCUCGCUAUCGGGCCGAUCUUACGAAGCAAGCUGGUCUUUCUAGUCAAUGUCCGGCUGUGCAAUCGCAUUCAUCGAGGAUGCGCGCCUGGGACUUCGGUCUUUGGGCAAUUACACAGACAACAUUCUGCCGAGUGUGUGGACAUUGAUAAUGAGAGCAAUCAAGUGCCUUAAGGGUGUUCGGUGGAUGCCUUGGCGCUGAGAGGCGAUGAAGGACGUGCUACGCUGCGAUAAGCCGUGGGGAGCUGCGAAGAAGCUUUGAUCCACGGAUUUCCGAA